rnacentral:rRNA from 1 species
CACGUAGGGGGCGAGCGUUGUCCGGAAUCAUUGGGCGUAAAGCGCGUGUAGGCGGUCCGGUAAGUCCGCUGUGAAAGUCGGGGGGCUCAACCCUCGGAUGCCGGUGGAUACUGUCGGGCUUGAGUACGGAAGAGGCGAGUGGAAAUUCCUGGUGUAGCGGUGAAUGCGCAGAUAUCAGGAGGAACACCAAUUGCGAAGGCAGCUCGCUGGGACGUUACUGACGCUGAGACGCGAAAGCAUGGGGAGCGAACAGG